rnacentral:rRNA from 1 species
GACGGGGCCCGCACAAGCGGUGGAGCAUGUGGUUAAUCGAAGCAACGCGAAGAACCUUACCGAGGCCUUGACAUGCUAGGGAACCGGGUGAAAGCCUGGGGUGCCCCGCGAGGGGAGCCCUAGCACAGGUGCUGCAUGGCCGUCGUCAGCUCGUGCCCGUGAGGUGUUGGGUUAAGUCCCCGCAACGAGCGCAACCCCCGCCGUUAGUUGCCAGCGGUUCGGCCGGGCACUCUAACGGGGACUGCCCGCGAAAAGCGGGAGGAAGGAGGGGACGACGUCUGGUCAGCAUGGCCCUUACGGCCUGGGCGACACACGUGCUACAAUGCCCACUACAAAGCGAUGCCACCCGGCAACGGGGAGCUAAUCGCAAAAAGGUGGGCCCAGUUCGGAUUGGGGUCUGCAACCCGACCCCAUGAAGCCGGAAUCGCUAGUAAUCGCGGAUCAGCCAUGCCGCGGUGAAUACGUUCCCGGGUCUU